rnacentral:rRNA from 1 species
UACGGAGGGUGCAAGCGUUAAUCGGAAUUACUGGGCGUAAAGCGCGCGUAGGCGGCUUUGUAAGUUAGAGGUGAAAGCCCGGGGCUCAACCCCGGAACUGCCUUUAAGACUGCAUCGCUUGAAUCCGGGAGAGGUGAGUGGAAUUCCGAGUGUAGAGGUGAAAUUCGUAGAUAUUCGGAAGAACACCAGUGGCGAAGGCGGCUCACUGGACCGGUAUUGACGCUGAGGUGCGAAGGCGUGGGGAGCAAACAGG